rnacentral:misc_RNA from 1 species
UACGUAGGGAGCAAGCGUUGUUCGGAAUCACUGGGCGUAAAGCGCGCGUAGGCGGAUUAGUCAGUCAGAGGUGAAAUCCCGGGGCUCAACCCCGGAACUGCCUUUGAUACUGCUAGUCUUGAGUUCGAGAGAGGUGAGUGGAUUUCCGAGUGUAGAGGUGAAAUUCGUAGAUAUUCGGAGGAACACCAGUGGCGAAGGCGGCUCACUGGCUCGAUACUGACGCUGAGGUGCGAAAGCGUGGGGAGCAAACAGG